UACGGAGGGGGCAAGCGUUGUUCGGAAUCAUUGGGCGUAAAGGGCGCGUAGGCGGCCGCUCAAGUCGGAUGUGAAAUCCCUCGGCUUAACCGAGGAACUGCAUUCGAUACUGGGCGGCUAGAGUCCGGGAAGGGGUAGUGGAAUUCCCAGUGUAGCGGUGAAAUGCGUAGAUAUUGGGAAGAACACCGGUGGCGAAGGCGGCUACCUGGACCGGUACUGACGCUGAGGCGCGAAAGCCAGGGGAGCGAAUGGG
rnacentral:rRNA from 1 species